UACGUAGGGGGCAAGCGUUGUCCGGAAUCAUUGGGCGUAAAGAGCGCGUAGGCGGCCCUGUAAGUCCGCUGUGAAAGUCAAGGGCUCAACCCUUGAAUGCCGGUGGAUACUGCAGGGCUAGAGUCCGGAAGAGGCGAGUGGAAUUCCUGGUGUAGCGGUGGAAUGCGCAGAUAUCAGGAGGAACACCAAUAGCGAAGGCAGCUCGCUGGGACGUUACUGGACGCUGAGGCGCGAAAGCGUGGGGAGCGAACAGG
rnacentral:rRNA from 1 species